GGUCAGUCGGGACUACCCGCUGAGUUUAAGCAUAUCAUAGGCGAGGAG
rnacentral:rRNA from 1 species